rnacentral:rRNA from 1 species
UACGUAGGGCGCAAGCGUUGUCCGGAAUUAUUGGGCGUAAAGAGCUCGUAGGCGGCUUGUCACGUCGGGUGUGAAAGCCCGGGGCUUAACCCCGGGUCUGCAUUCGAUACGGGCUAGCUAGAGUGUGGUAGGGGAGAUCGGAAUUCCUGGUGUAGCGGUGAAAUGCGCAGAUAUCAGGAGGAACACCGAUGGCGAAGGCAGGUCUCUGGGCCGAUACUGACGCUGAGGAGCGAAAGCGUGGGGAGCGAACAGG